CGUCGGGUCAUGUGACUUUUCCCGUAUUGUCUGUUUUUCCUUUAUAAAUAAUAAAAAAAUCUUUCACAAUUCCUCUACACUUUUACACACUAUUCUGGCUCUAUUUGUUCAAAAAACUAAUCCAACACAAAUGCGUCGACUUGCGGGCUUCGAGGAUGAUCCUGACCUGUGAUGGAGUUCAUAAUCGAGAUCAUCCACCUUAUUAACUUCGGCCUACCGUUCACCAACAGGAAGUUCCGAGCUAUACUCUACAUAGUCACUUACGUCACACCGUCACCGGUUCAGUUUAUAGACGACGUCAACGCCAACGACUUCGAAGACAUAUUCUGAUGGACUCUUUCAAUCUGCUCAUCGAGUGCGUCAACGUCCUCACCGUCUCGCUACCUUUCACCGUCGAGAAGCUGGUCAUCACUUUCUACAUGACCGUGUACGCCUGUCCAUACCCGGUUGAGUACAUCGACAACAUAAGGAGCGAGGAAUUCGUCAAUCUCGAGGAAGAGUACCUGUCCUCGGAGGACGACCUUGGGAUCCUCCCGUUAGACUUCAUAAACCCUGAAUAGAGUUUGUGAGGAAAUAGCUGUCGAACGUCCUUGUCUCCGUCUUAAAACCGUCCCUUGUGCUAACCUUGUUGACCGGUCAGAAUGAAGCGGACGAGCCUUUGUAGCCAGGUGGUAUGAGCCGCCUGAUCUCGCUCAUCCUCUUGAUCGUGCUGAGGAAAGUAUCCUCUCGGUUGAUGAACUUCGACGCCUGGAAGCGUUCCCUGUUUUUCCUGUUCAUCUUCUCCAGCAUUAUUUUGUUCACACCUGGAAUUACCAGACACACGAAUUUUUUUAAACAAUAAAUAAAUCAGAGAAAAAUAAAA